CCAAGUUGGGCCCGAGGUGAAAGGUUGUAGGUAUAGGGUCGAAUCUCCUAUCCUGUACACCUUACAAUAGAGGGGAUCAUUGAAUUUUAAGAAUAAUAAUAAAAAACAAAUCCUUGCCAAGUUUCAUACAAUAAGCCUUUAAACUGACCGAUAUAUUGAGAAUCAAACAAGUCAAAAAGGCACAGUGUACACGUUUGGUACCCCAAGGUGCCUCAAGGGUUAAAAGAGGUAAAAGCUGCUACAGAUCGUUGGGUUAAAAUCAUCAUUGAACAGUGCUUUAAAAUGGAUUUAAUUUAGUUUGGUGCUUUAAAUGUUGGUAUUUUCUACUGAUUUUCUAGAUUAAUUUCUAGUAGUUUAAAUGAAGUCUUUGAGUUUGGGUUAUGGUGAUUGAUUAUGGUUUCUGGGUUACAUUUUCUUAAAGGUCUAUUUGUGUUUGUAUUUGAAGGUUUUUCACCUGUUAUUGGCCUCGGAAACUUUCAAAAGAAAAGAAAGAAAAGAGAGAAAGCUGAAUCUUGGUCUCUGAGUGAAUUCCAGUCCAAUAUUCUGAAGCAAGCUGCCUUUUCAAGUGGGGGGAGCUGCAGGUGAAACCUCACAAGAGUGAGGGCCACCUGACGGUGGGAGCCCUGGGCUGUCAGUGGGUGUGACUGUGUGGCAAAUGGUUUACAUGGCUUAUGGCUCAGGUAGGAGGGCCCCUUAGCAGAGGUUUGCUGAAGGCCCCAGGGAGGUCAGGACUGGCUCUGGGUACCAGGUUGCUGAAGGGGGGAGCAUCAGGUCUGUGGGUGAGUUCAUCGGCGCACUGGGACCACCUGGCCAGUCUCCCAAGGGCUCUGAAGAUCUGGACCCCUCGUUCCUCCAGCCAUGUUCCUGUUUGGUUGGCUCCGGCCGUGUCAUUAGUUCAGUUUCUGCACCUCACAACGCCCUCAUUUAUGUGCUGACACACUGAUACCACUGACCAACACACCUCAUCAUUCCACUGUGGGAUUGCACUUGCAUUAUAUUUUAGUAAUAAACUCGUUCAUCUUUGACUUCAAACCGUUUAUCUCCCAUUUAUUGUCACAGCUCAGGAGCCGGGUGUCACACUGACAUGUGAAUAUAUGGAGGACUGCACUUUCCUGUAUCCAUAUUGUUCAAUAAGCAGCAGACACAGGUUCAUUCAGUUCACAAUGAUUCGUUGUUUCCAUUCCUCUAAGGCACUGGCUCCCAGCCUUUAUCCUUCAGGGACACCUUUUCUAUCACUGAGUAAACUAUAUGUUACACAUAUUUCAUAUUAUAUUGAAUAAUAACAAUAACAGCAGAGAACAGCUGAUAAACUGAACAAUGAACCCAAACAGUGAACACAAUAACUGCAGCAAGUUUGUGUAAAACCAGAGAUUUGGAUGAAGUUUGAGCAGAUUAUUUCCUUUGAAUAUUGAUCAGAGAUCAGUUUUCCUGAUAUUUUAGGGAACUUUUUAUACAAUUCUCUGUCUGUAUUAUGUAUUCUUUAGUUAUUUAGUAGGUUGGGAGGCCUUCUUGGUUUUAUGGGGUGUUAGAAAACUUUAGAAAAUAAAUACAGUAGACAUAUCUCAGCAUUUUUGUUUUAUUUGACUUUGAAGACCUGAACACAAACUAUAUUUACAGAACCUCUGAUAAACAGCCUCGUCCUGCAUUAAAGAAGUUCAAACAACCAAAGAGCUAAAAUAAAAAUAUAUAUAACAGUCAUAUUGUACAUAUUGUUUAUUUUUCUCUUUAUAAUAUUUUUAUUUUUGUGCUUUUUGUCUUAAAGUCCGUGUUUCCUUUAUUUAUAGUUUUUAGCACUUUAUGUUUAUUAUGUACAAAGAUAACAAGGCAAAUUCCUUGUAUUGAAAACCUUCUUAUAAUAAAACUCACUCUGAUUCUAAUAUCUUGUUCUUUACAUUUUCUUUAACUAGCAAGUAAAUAACAGACUUUAAUAUCUUCUCACCUCCGAUAUAAAACUCAGGAUGAAUGUAAUUAUGUAACAUUAAUUGUAUUGUUUUCAUUGUAUUCUGGUGUAAUCAACAUAUUUACUCCUUUAAAUUCAUUCAAAAUGUUUCUGUGACGCCUACAAAUGUAUAGUCACAACUGUUAAAAUGUUUUGUGUAUUAGCCAGUGAAAAAGGUCAAAUGUUAAUGAAUCUUUACAAGACAUGGGAGUAGUAGUUUUAAAAGUGCAAUUUCCCAGUUGUGCCACAAGAGGGAGUGUCCACUUUGGUGAGCGCUAGUAGGGCUGCGUGAGGCUUCUCCUGCACAAAACAGGUUAGUAGUGUGUCAUAUCUUGUCACAAAGCAUUUAUAAGGACUUUUUUUUAUAAGGACUUCAUUAUGUUGUUUUGACAACGUUUGAUGUGUAAAACAGUAGUUUGCUCAGCUAAGAAACUGAGUUUUCCUGCAAUGAAAUCUUGCUCGCUCCUCUUAAUACUUCUUUUAUUUCUGGUCCCUGCUCCUUGACAUACCCUCUGUCUUGUAUUUGUUUUGUCAAAGCUUUGUGAAGUACGGUUGUGUAAAGUUGUUAAGUCGUUCAUCUAAGUCAUGUUACCAGGAUAAUAUAAUAAUAAUAAUAAUAAUAAUAAUAAUAAUAAUAUAUAGAUCAAAUAUUUUGGUAAAGUUAAAAAGGGCAAAGGUAUUUUUGUAAUGAUGGCCUGUUAUUGUUAUGUAUACUUUGUGUUUAAGAAUUUAGUAAAAAUGUGAACAGCUUGGGCUUAAAAGUAUUAAUGCUACUGUAAAUGUGGUGUUGGACCUAAAUAGCAGUCACUGUUGGUGAACAAUGGUACAAAUUAGGAGUUUGAAUUUGAUUUCUGUUUCAUUCAGCAGUCAUUUUGUACAUUUGUAAAAUGUCAGUCCAGUGGGUUAGUAUAUGAACCUUAAAGCUUGAUGUCAUGUAAAUUGCAAAAUGAAGAUUGUUGUGAACAAAACACUAAGUUGGUUUAAAUGAAGUGAAAAAGAAAGAUUCUGUUAAAUAAAAACAGAGAACAGCCUGCUGAGCGAUCACAAGUAACGUCUCCUGUCUCUGCUUUUCCUGCACAAAACAGGAUACUAUACCUGCUUACGGGUAACUCAUGCUUGAGGCCUGUAACAUUUUGAUAGUUGUUUUAUGAUUUAAUAAUCAGUGAGUAACUUUUGGAUGUUUUUCUUCAUGUUGCCAUCUUGAGCUGUUUUUCCUCUUUGUACAGGAAGAGAAGUUAGACACAGUGAAUCUUUUACUCCUUUCCAGUCAGUUUUUAUCCAUUUGAAUUUGACAUUUUCAGUGUGUGAGUGGAGAGGACUACAACUGCAUGUUAUUGUGCAAUCCUGUGUUGUAUAAUGACAAUAAAACAGAACUUUAAACCCUCGAUAACCCCUCCCUCUUCUUCCUGAUUCAAACACAGCGAGCUACACUCUGUUCAUGUAUUUCCUUGUUCCCUCCCCUUCAGAUCUACAGUUUGUAGAUGGGUGUAACCAACAUGAGCAAGAGCUGACAGGCCCCAUUCACUGCAGAGACACAUGUUGUUGAGAUCAGAGCUCAACCCGGCCUCAUUUAUAAGGAAGUGAAACUGAGACAGU
ensembl:lncRNA